rnacentral:rRNA from 1 species
GAUGAACGCUGGCGGCGUGCCUAAUACAUGCAAGUCGAGCGAACAGACGAGGAGCUUGCUCCUCUUACGUUAGCGGCGGACGGGUGAGUAACACGUGGAGAACCUACCUAUAAGACUGGGAUAACGUCGGGAAACCGGAGCUAAUACCGGAUAAUAUAUUGAACCGCAUGGUUCAAUAUUGAAAGGCGGUUUUGCUGUCACUUAUAGAUGGAUCCGCGCCGCAUUAGCUAGUUGGUAAAGUAACGGCUUACCAAGGCUACGAUGCGUAGCCGACCUGAGGGGGUGAUCGGCAACACUGGAACUGAGAAACGGUCCAGACUCCUACGGGAGGCAGCAGUAGGGAAUCUUCGGCAAUGGGCGCAAGCCUGACGGCGCAACGCCGAGUGAGUGAUGAAGGUCUUCGGAUCGUAAAACUCUGUUAUUAGGGAAGAACAAAUGUGUAAGUAACUAUGCACGUCUUGACGGUACCUAAUAAGAAAGACACGGCUAACUACGUG